GUCCAUGCCGUAAACGAUGUCUACUAGCCGUUGGUGUCUUUGAGACUUUAGUGGCGCAGCUAACGCGAUAAGUAGACCGCCUGGGGAGUACGGUCGCAAGACUAAAACUCAAAUGAAUUGACGGGGGCCCGCACAAGCGGUGGAGCAUGUGGUUUAAUUCGAUGCAACGCGAAGAACCUUACCUGCCCUUGACAUAGUAGAAACUUUCCAGAGAUGGACUGGUGCCUUCGGGAAUCUACAUACAGGUGCUGCAUGGCUGUCGU
rnacentral:rRNA from 1 species